rnacentral:lncRNA from 1 species
AUUGUCACUCAUACAGUACUUCUUGAAGAAAUAACCCAAACACCUCAUCACAAAAGGCACUGAAGCUGUAAUCAAAAGAUAGCGAAAACGCACAGAUUCAUGAGGAGUAACAGCAAAAACCGCAGAUGCAUAGGUUAUCAUCAUUGAAGCUGUAGCAGCCCAUAUUUCAAGAUGGAAAGGGAACCUGUAAGUGAGAGAUAUAAUGACAAGUAUACAAGUGGAGAGAGCCAAAGUGUUUGAUACCACGAAAACAUAGUAAGCACCCGGUUGAGAUGCAUAAAUUGCUGUUCCUGCAACAUGAGUACCAUUUCCUGUAUCUUGCCAGACCCCUCCAGGAGGGUUCACCCCAGCCUGGAAAGUCACUGCUGCAAUCAAGGCCACAACUAUUAGCAAAACAUUUCUAGCAUCGCCUGGUGAGUCUCUGCGUGGAUCAUACUGAAAUUUCUUGAACCAGCUAUGGCUUUUAGUAAUGUUUUUUUUAGGCUGAGACAUUCUUACUUGGGCAAAGAUAUGUGGGAGAUACCCGCACUCUGGCUCUCAAGAGGUUACUUAUAUAGACACACACACACCGAUUCAUGUAAGAAUUUUCAAACUAAUUUAAUGAUCAAUGUUUACCCGCGUCAAUGCAAGUCAAUGACUAUAAGAUUAUAUAAAUCUUGUGUGAAUAGUGAUUAUCAACGUCGAAUAUCUGGGUAUCCAAAUAGCCCCCACCAGGAAAAGAACGGUGGAAAUUUGGAGAAAAGUUAGGCAGACUUGACUCCUUUUCAAGUCUUGGAGUUAUUUCUUACGAUUAUUUGGACCACACGAAAACGAAAGGGGGAAGGAAAGUGAAAAAAAAAAAAAAUAGAAAAAGAAAAGCUGUGUGAGUGCGCAAGAAACCAUCUUUGUUUUCCUCGGCAAUUACACAUUUUAUUUUUUUAUUAAUAUAGAUAUUUGUAUUAGUUUGCAUGUAUCUCAACUAAUCACACGAAUCCUGAAGUUAACAAGUAUAUAAACCUUCAUUAACUCUGAGAAUUGUGAGAUUCGAAUUAAUUAUUUUUAAAGAAUCAGUUGAGCUACACCCUUCAAAGUUAUAUUUUAUUUUUUUCUUCCUUGAGAUAGUUAUUGCAGCUCGAUUUGUUUUUAAUGUUAAAAAGGUAUGGGAAUUAAUAAUAUUUUUAUACUUAUAACUUAUAAGUAAUAGAAUUUUUUUAAAGCAAGACAAAGGUUUGAAUUCAUUAUUAUUCAACCUGCCUUAUCAAAUAAUAGAAUUUUUUUAAAAAAUAAAUGUAAAAUUUGUUGGUUGAGCUACACCCUUUAAAGUUAUAUUUUACUUUUUUCUUCCUUGAGAUAGCUAUUGCAGCUCGAUUUGUUUUUAAUGUUAAAAAAGUAUAAAAAUUAAUAGUAUUUUUAUACUUGCAAGUAAAACUUUUUAAAGCAAGACAAAGGUUUGAAUUCAGUAUUAUUGAAUUGUCUUAUCAAAUUAAUAGAAUUUUGUGACAUUAAGAACAAUAAGUAUUAUUUUUGAAAAGUGACUAAAAAGACAAUUUUCUUUUUCUUUAUUGUUUUGAAGUGAUUUUUUUUUCUUUUUUAGGACUAAAAUCUUAAGAAAGUAAAUUUUUAAAUCAAAAUUAAAAUUGUAAAAGCUUAAAAGACUGCAAAGUAAGUAAAAUGAAAGAAGGUGGGCUAAACAGAACUUUUUGUAAUGAAUUUUAAAUUAUCCAUGUGAUUUUUUAUUGGUUUACUCUUUGGUCUUUUUUUGUUAAAUUUUCUCUUUUCUUAACAAGCUUUAAUAAAUUGGCAUUAAUUUAGGCAUAAAAAACUGCAAUUGAAAAAUAAAAUUUGAGAUGAAAACUGAAAAAAGAAACCUAAUUUAGUUUCUAAUGUAUAUACUCAAUUUUAAUUGGAUCCCAAGCCUAUAAAUUUUAUCACUUUUAUCUUAAAUGUUCUUAACAAUUCUCUUGUGUUAACGUUAAUUAUAUUUUUAAUAAAUCUUCUUAAGAAAAACACCAUUUUAUUACAUAAAAUAUUCCUAUUCGGUGGAAAAUAUUAACAAGAAAAUGAUGGAAGAAGGAUUCUAUUGAGAAAUGUGUGAUUGAGAAGUAUGAUGAGGCUUUUAUUAUUAUUAUUAUUAUUAUUAUUGCUUUGAAGUAUCCAAUCCAACAAUGUCUUAAGCUGACCUAUGGCAUUAGCUUUUGCAUAUAUAUGAUUUCUAAUUAAUUAACCUGCCAACGCUAGCAUUAAUGUUGUUUUAGUGCUUUUUUGUACAUAAAUACUAAUUUUGUAUUCAAAAUAUUAAUUAUAAAAUUAACUAUCAAAUUAAUACCACAAAGAUUGUGCUAUUUUUUAUUUUAGCUUAAAUUGACGUCGACAAAACAAAACCUUAACAACAAAUACAAAUCAUAAUUAAAUAUAAGGAGAGGCCCUUUAACCAAGGUUAUUAAAAUCGCGUUUUGAUUUGUAAAAUCGUACAAGGUUGUUAAAAUCGCGUUUUGACUCGUAAAAUCGUACUAUUUUACGAGUCAAAACAUGUAUUACGGGUUGAAUUGCUUGAAAAAAAUAAAAAAUAGAUAAAAUCGAGUUGAAAUCGAGUAAAAUCAUAAAAAUCAGAUAAAAUAACACAAAAUCACGAUUUCAAGACCGCUUUUGCAAUUUUAACAAAAUAAGGCCAUGAAAGUUUCAAUUGUAAAAUCCCCCCUCUUAAUUCAAUUAUUGACGGGGUGGUUGUAGAUAAUUUAAUACCAAAAAAAGGGAGAGUGUAGGCAGUUUGAAUAUUUCAAAAUAUUCUGUCAUUGGAAGGUGAAUUAAUUAUCACAGCUUCAGCACGCACAUAGAUAUUAAUUUAAAAGAAAGAAAAAAAUAAAACCAAACAGUAACUACAUCUUCAUGCAUAUCGAUGCAGGGCAAGUACUUUAAUGAGGAGAGGCAGACUGCCAAAGCACGCAGCAAGUGGAAAGAAAAUAAAAACCAAAAUAAUAGCGAAAGCGAGUGGAAGGAAGGUGGUUUGGACAUUUACACCACAAAGAGACAAGAAGAGUCUUAAAAGCAGCUUUUAGAGCACGCAUCGUGGCAGCUUUUACACCAAUUUUGCGAUUUUGAUAAAAUAAGGCUCUAAAAAAAAUAUUUUAAAUUUUUUUAUAAUUUUUUUGAGAUUUUUUUAUAUAUUUUAAAAUUUCUUACAAUUUUUUUUCGAUUUUAUAAUCUGUUUUUUUCGCGAUUUUAACAACCUUAUCUUUAACAAUAAUAAAUAUUACGUGUUCAGUAAUUUAUUAAUUUGAAAUAAGUAAUUUAGAAAUCACUCCCGGCUGAUAAUUAAAAUAUUGAAAAAAUAAUUAAUAAAAGAUUACAAGACAAUGAGAGCAAGGCUGCUGCGGAUGGAGGAUUUACAAUGAAAAUAGAAAAAUAAAAAAACCCACAUUAGAGUGGGUUUAGGGGUCUUUAAUUAAUAUUGUAGUCGAAUAUACUUUUUAGAAAUAAAUAAAUAUUAAAAUAUAUUUUUUUAUUAUUUUUUACACCAACACAUUAAAAUUAUAAAAAAUACUAAAAAAUAUUAAUUUUAUAUAGCCUUACAAAUUCUAUUAAGCUAAUACUUCAAUCUUUAUCCAAUAAAAAUGAGAACCAAUCAACUAAUUAUUUUCUGAAUAUGCUAAAACUCUCUUAAUAGAGAUUGACUCGUGUAUUAUUGAGUUCUAAUAAUAUUAUAAUUUUUAUAAAUCCCAUGAAUCACUUUUAAUUUUUGUUAAAUUAUAACUAUUCAGCCAUUUUUUAUUAGCAUUUCUAGAUGUUCAUGAGUGGAGUUCUUUUUUAAAAAACGUACGUCCUAUCACUAAUCAGUUAGACAAUUUUAAUAUAUAUAUAUAUAUAUAUAAAUCCAAUUCAUGGGUGAAGUGUGAUUACCAGUGUCGGGUAUCUGGGUGUCCAAAUAGCCCCACCAGGAGAAGAAAGGUGCAAAUUUGGACUAAAGUUAGACUGAAUUCCAAGUAUCUGUGAUCCAGCUUUAAAACGCUAUGUUUUAAGGAAAACCUAAUUUAUUCUCUAAUUUAUAUAUUCAAUCUUAACUGGAUCUCAAUCAGACCUAUAAAUUUUAUAAAUCUGAUGUCAAAUAUUCUAUAAACAAUUCUUAAUCAGGUUCUUAUGUUAAUAUUAAUUACUUUUUUGAUAUUUGUUUUUCAAAGCAACAUCAUUUUAUUACAUAAAAUAUAUCAAUUCGAUGGGCCAAAAAUUUGAUGGAAGGAGGACUGAUCUAUUGAGAAAUGUGGGAAAAAAGAUUGAGAAAUUACUUGAACAAAAAGCUUAAAUUAACCCAUGGGAGUGAAUUGCUUUUCCUGCAUUCUUUCCUUCUUGCCAGACCCCUCCAGGAGGGUUCACCCCAGCCUGGAAAGUCACCGCUGCGAUCAAGGCCACAACUACUAGCAAAACAUUUCUAGCAUCGCUUGGUGAGUCUCUGUCUGGAUCAUACUGAAAUUUCUUGAACCAGCUAGCGAUCAAGGCCACAACUACUAGCAAAACAUUUCUAGCAUCGCUUGGUGAGUCUCUGUCUGGAUCAUACUGAAAUUUCUUGAACCAGCUAGCGAUCAAGGCCACAACUACUAGCAAAACUAUAGCAGAAUUUAUUUAAUUAUCCCAAUAAAUAAUAGCAUAUGGAUUCAUUAAAUAAAAUUAUCUGAAUUUUAAAAUUUUAAUAUAUAUCCAAUUUAUGUAAGAGUUUCCCAACUAACUAAGUUAUUUAAUGAUUAAUGUUUACCCGAGUCAAUAUAAGUCAAUGAAUUUAAGUUUAUAUAAAUCUUGUGUAAAUAGUGAUUAUCAAUGUCAAUUAUCUGGGUAUCCAAAUAGCCCCACCAGGAGAAAAAAGGUGCACAUUUGGACAAAAGUUAACCAGACUUGACUCCUUUUCAAGUCUUGGAGUUAUUUCUUACAAUUAUCUGCACCACACGAAAAAGAAAGGGGGAAGGAAAAUGAAAUAAAAAAAUAGAAAAAGAAAAGCUGUGUGAGCGUGCAAGAAGCCAUCUUUGUUUUCCUGGACAAUUACACGUUUUGUUUUAUUAAUAUAGAUGUUUGUGCUAGUUUGCACGUAUUUUAAUUAAUCACACGGGUCUUAAAAUUAACAACUAUAUAAAUCUCAAUUGACCUUAAAAUUUAUAAGAUUCAAAUUAAUAAAUUAUAAAGAAUAAAUUUAUGACCUGAUCAGUUGAGCUAAACCUGUCAUAAUUAUAUUUUAUUUUUUUCUUUCUUGACGUAGUUGUUACAGCUCAAUUUGUAUUUAAUGGUAAAAAAGUAUAGGAAUUAAUAAUAUUUUUAUACUUGCAAGUAAAACUUUUUAAAGCAAGUCAAUAUAAGUCAAUGAAUUUAAGAUUAUAUAAAUCUUGUGUGAAUAGUGAUUAUCAAUGUCAAUUAUCUGGGUAUCCAAAUAGCCCCACCAGGAGAAAAAAGCUGCACAUUUGAACAGAAGUUAACCAGACUUGACUCCUUUUCAAGUCUUGGAGUUAUUUCUUACAAUUAUUUGCACCACGCGAAAAUGAAAGGGGGAAGGAAAGUGAAAAAAAAAAAUAGAAAAAGAAAAGUUGUGUGAGUGCGCAAGAAACCAUCUUUGUUUUCCUGGACAAUUACGCAUUUUAUUUUUUUUAUUAUUAUUAAUAUGGAUGUACGUACCAGUUUACAUAUAUUUCAACUAAUCACGUGGAUUUUGAAGUUAACAACUAUAUAAACCUUCAUUAACUUUGAGACUUGUAAGACUCGAAUUGAUGACCUCUAAAAAAUAAAUGCAGGACCUGAUCAGUUGAGCUAUACCCUUUAAAUUUAUAUUUUAUUUUUUUCUUCCUUGAGAUAGUUAUUGCAGCUCGAUUUGUUUUUAAUAUUAAAAAAAAUAUAGGAAUUAAUAAUAUUUUUAUACUUACAAGUAAAACUUUUUAAAACAAGACAAAGGUUUGAAUUCAGUAUUAUUGAACCUGUCUUAUAAAAUUAAUAGAAUUUGGUGACAUCAAGAACAAUAAGUAUUAUCUUUGAAAAGUUAACAAUCAAAUUUUUUUUUAAUUAAAAUUGACUGGAAAGUGUUUUUCGUUGAUCAACUUUUCUAAUGACAAACAAACACAUGAAAGUUUGGAAAACGGUUUCCAGAAAACUACUUUCCGGAAAAUAAACAUGGUCAAUUCCAAGUAUCUGUGAUCCAGCUUUAAAACGCUACGUUUUAAGAAAAACCUAAUUUAUUCUCUAAUUUAUAUAUUCAAUUUUAACUGGAUCUCAAUCAGACCUAUAAAUUUUAUCAAUCUGAUGUCAAAUAUUCUAUAAACAAUUCUUAAUCAGGUUCUUAUGUUAAUAUUAAUUACUUUUUUAAUAUUUUUUUUCAAAGCAACAUCAUUUUAUUACAUAAAAUAUAUCUAUUCGAUGGGCCAAAUAUUUGAUGGAAGGAGGACUGAUCUAUUGAGAAAUGUGGGAAAAAAGAUUGAGAAAUUACUUGAACAAUAAGCUUAAAUUAACCCAUGGGAGUGCUUGUUAUGCUGAUUAAUUAUUCUUAAUAAAAAUUGAGAUAUAUAUUUAUUACUGAUACUGUGAGCUUCACUGUACUGGCAGCAUGCCAGUGGAGAUCAACAUAUAGUAAUUAAUUAAUUGCUUCCAGCAGAGCAGAAUGCCACCAGGUAAUAAAGCUAGCAAUAAAAGAACCAAGAAGAAAAUUUAAGUUAUAGUUAUUAGAAAAGAUAUAUAUAUAUAGGGAGGUUACAGGGUUGAACUUUAUUUUUUUACGCUGUUAUAAUCAACGCUUAUAGCAAUAUCAGAAGCAAAAAAAUAAAAUAAAAUAAAGAAAGAAUCAAACAUAAAAUUCAGCAUGAUGAACGCGGAUGUUAAAAUAGAACCAGCUCCAAUGCUGCGCAGGAGCAGUAUUUUGAACCAUUACUUUGGUAAUGGUAAUCUUAGACGGCUAAUUAUCUUGGACGGCGACCUGCAUGCGGAGGCUACCACCCAUAUGACCAACCGUAUUACAAUAGGCGCUGGAGCAGCGACGAAGAUGAGGCGAAAGGACACUGAUUCGUAAGGUGUAAUACAAUAUAUCCCAGAACUGUAAGUGCCCAUCAUAGAAACUGUAGCAAUCAAGACUUCCAAGAAAUAAGGGUAACCGAAGGUUAGACAUAAUAAGAGAAAAAUGGAGGACGUUAGUGCAAUGGUGUUGAAUAUCAGGAAGAUUUGGAAAGGAACUUUCUGGUCAGAAUAAACAGCAUGUCCAGCUCUAUGUCCCUGAUUAUCAUCGCUUUGCCAAACUCCACCAGGUGGGGUGAUUCCUGCUUGGAAGGUCACCGUCGCGAUCAGCGCCGCCCCGACUAGCAUAACAUUUCGGAAGUCAUCACCGGUUGUCUUUGUUUUACAUGGCGGGAUUGUUGGCAAUAUAAUAGCUUUUAAGGGGUUGAUUUGGGUUUUGUCAUCAGUACUUCCCAUAUUUCACUAGGAAUUGUAAGAGUAGUGAUUUUUUCGUCCCGUCUUUCACUCAAACUCAGCAAAACAAGGCUCGAAUAAAUUAAUAACAAGAACGGGAACGGUGCAUUUGAUUUUCAUUCAAGUAAAGAAAGGUUCUCUUCCAUGAAAUUCACCUGGGAAUACUUCUUGGUGGAGUGUUGAAAUCAUUCAAGAAAGGUAUAAGAUGCUGAAACAGCUAGCCAAACGGGAAGUGCUGUUUUUUUAUUUAUUUUUAUCUCCUUUUCCUUCUGGUGUUCAGUACUUUAGAAUUAAGAGGGGCCGAAAGUGCCUGGUGAUUAAUACAUUGAAAAUAAAAUUCGAGUUAUAAAGUACAUGAUUUCAAAAAAACAAAAAAGAUUUUCAAAUUUAAAUGUAACAAGUUCUAUUCGAAGAAGAUUUGGCUCAGCGUAUAACGGGAAGAAAUGGGUUUGGUGUUUUUUACUUUUAAAUUUAUAAUUUUUAUUAGAUUAGAAGAAUGACGGAAGAAUUCGAGGGAAAAAGUUAAAUUGCUAGCUUUAUUUCCAUAUCUCUGAUUUUGCGCGCGAGGAUGAUUAUUUUAUUCAAGAAGCGUCAUGCAUGAUUUCAUCAUUUCCGUUGCCAUGAUGUAUAUAGCACACCGUCAGUUCUGUGACAUCAGCUUUGAGAAAUGGCAAAAUGGCAAAUUACAACAUUUGUUUUUUUGCAAAAAGAAAAUCAUCAAUAUUAGGGGAUGAAUUCCGUUCUUAUCCAGAAUAGCAACUCCAACUCACCUAGGUUGGUUUUUUUUUUUUUUUUUUUUACCAACAGGUGCGUGGCUCAAGUGGUUGAAGGGGGCUGCUCUCCUUCUUUCGAACUCGAGUCCCAAUAGGAGUGGCGUUGGAGAGUUUUGUUCCUCUCCUAUUUCUCUUGGAUCCUCCCUGUACGGUAUGCAUGUCACUCCCGCAGUGCCUUACUUGUUCACUGAGCGUGCAGGAUGUUCAGUGGGCCGUGGGAAUAGUCGUGGUGCGCGCAAGCUGGCCGGGACACCCACGAUAAUAAUAAAAAAAAGGUUUUUUUUUUCUUUUUACACCAUUUCAAAUUCGAGUUUUAUAAUUAUUAAUAUAAUAGUCAUUAAAAAUUUAUAAAAUCAUUAAUUUCAAAAUUUAUAGGAUUAUUCGAGGCACACACAAUUUGAAUCAAACACUCCCAUUAAUUAAAAAAAUAAAUUUAUAUAAUUAUUUAAUCUAAUGAAUAAUAGAUAUCAUAUAUUAAAAAACACAAUUUAAAACUUAACUCAGUGGGUAUAUAUUUAGAUUUUAACUUCAACCUGAAAAUGCAUUGACUAAUAAAAUCAGGUUGCCAGGUUUUUAAUUAUUUGGUUAAUAUAAACAAACCUGGUUCAACUUUUAGGAUUUUUUUAAUAAAAAUUUAUAAUUAACUUUUCUUCAUAAUUUCACCGAAUCAAUCAAGAAUUACAAAUUAAUGACUUGUACUUGUCCCUUGCUAGAUGCGCUUAAUUACAAUUUUAUCUGCUAAUCAAUCUACGAAUAGAAGGAAUGAUUGGCAAUAAUUUUGUUCAAUUCUUGCAUAAAAAAACUGCCAACCGAAAUUUUUUUUGGAAAUUAUUAAUUCAAAAGGGAAAAAAUAUGGCUAAUAUUAUCACAGCCAACAAUAUUUAUAAACGAAAUUACAUUCUGCCGUCUGGAAAGAAGAAGAAAGGAGAAGCAAACAUUCAGCACCUCAUCUUACUGAUAUGGGUUCUUUCCUUCCACAUCCGAUCUUUUUUAACCAUUCAUUGGGCACUGGGUGGUAAAAUACAGCGGAAAACACCCAAAUAAGAACCCUUAUUACUAUAGGUACAGGAGCGGCGAGGAAGAUGAGACGAAACGACACUGAUUCGUAAGGUGUAACACUAUAUAUCGCAGAACCAUAAGUGCCCAUCAUAGAAAUUGUAGCAAUGAAAACUUCCAAGAAAUAAGGGUACCUAAAGGUUAGACAUAAUAGUAGAAAACUGGAGGAUGUCAGUGCAAUAGUGUUACAUAGCAGGAAAAUUUGGAAAGGUAUUCUCUGAUCAGAAUAAAUAGCACGUCCGGCUUUAUGUCCCAGCUUAUCAUCACUUUGCCAAACUCCACCGGGUGGACAAAUUCCAGCUUGGAAGGUCACGGUGGCGAUCAGCACAGCCCCGGCCAGCAAAACAUUUCGGAUAUCAUGAGGUUCUGGCUUUACAUCUGGUGGCGUUAUUGGUUUUGAGAUAGAUUUGAAGCAGACCUUGAUUUUGCUUUUGAUUCUAGUACUAGUAGUAUUUUUAGGGUGAUUUUCCAUAUCUCUCAGGUGAAGUUAUGGUUCCUUUCUUCUGUUAACAUUGCAACUCAAAGGGCCAAGAGGUUUAAAUAUUUUUCUUAAAGAGAAGGGGAAUAACGCACUUGAUUUUCAUUCAAGUAAGAAAGAUUCAGUCCCCUGCGAGUCUCUGGCACCAUUAAAUCUGGAUAGGAGUACUUUUGGUAGAGUACUGAAUUCAUUUAAGAAAGGUAUAAGAUCCUGAAACAGCCAAGCAGGCAGUACUGUUAUGCCUUCUCUCUUUUUUUUUCUUCCCCUUUUUGUGGUAUUCAGUAAUUUGAAAUGAAAAUGUGAAAGUGAUCUGAACCAUAAAGGGAGAAAACCUGGUUAGGAGUAUAUAAAUUUGGUGUCUUCCCAAUUUUCCAUUAAAUCACUUGACGGAAAGAUUUUGUAAAAGAAGGGAAGGGGGAUUUUUCGAAACUUCGGAACAGGGAGCAGAAGGCAUGACUGUAAAAUGGUAUUUAUGGAUAACAAAAGCUACGAGAAGCCUUAGGAUUGCAUGCACAUUGUUUAACACUUCUUUUUAGGCUACACAUUUGAUAGGAGAAAUCAAAGGAAAAGGUUAAAUUGAUGCUUUUAUUCCCAUAUUUUGCACAUUAAGCACGAUUAUUUUAUUCAAGAAGCAUGAUGGGGCUUCAUUUUGAUUGCAUCCAAUCCAACAACUAAUGUCUUAGGAUUAAUUAUGUCAUCAGCUUUUGCUUUGUAACUUCAAUCAUGCUACAGUCCUUUUGUUGCGAAAGGAUGGAUAUUAGGGCAUCCAUACUAACCUAAAUGUAGAUGCUAGAUGGCGAGUGACUUGUCAACUGUUUUUAUACAAUAUAAAGCUAGCAAGCUGCCCGAAUAGCCACGUUAAUUAAAAAGAAAAAAUUGCAACUAGAAAGGCAUAGAGAAAUUGACGAACUGAAUUGAUUAACCUGCAAUAAGCUAGAGGACACGGAUGUAGGAGAGGUGAAGAGUCCUACUAAUCGAUCUGCAUGCAAUCGGGGGGAAUCAUAAUUUGCCUUGCAUUUGACCUUAAUGCUUUUUUCAGAAAGGGGUGUAUACUUGAUAUACAGAUUAUUAUUGUGCAGAUUGCCUUAAUUUAAGCUAGUGCAGUGGCCCGUAUCAGUUUUUCCUUUCAAUUUUAUAAACCAGGAUGCAAAUUUAUUAGGGAAAAAAAACACAUCAAAGAAGAUAGUCUAGAGGUAGAGGAUACAGAAAAUACAACCCAGGAAAACAAGAGAUACAAGAAUGAGAAAGAAGAAAAAAACCAGCCUGGCCAAGGACAAAUUAGAAAUGAACCAGCUUAUGUUGGCCUUGCUCGCAGCUCUUACAUCUACACACUUUGGCCUGUUUCCCCACCUAUUUCUUCAUCUUUCUGACAUUUAUUACUGCAUUUCUUAAGCAUCUGAAUCAAAAACCUUGUGAUAAAAGGCACUGAAGCUGUAAUCAAGAGAUAGCAAAAAUGCACAGAUUCGUGAGGGGUAACAGCAAAAAUUGCAGAAGCAUAAGUUACCAUCAUUGAAGCUGUGGCAACCCAAAUUUCAAAGUGGAAAGGGAACUUGUAAGUGAGAGAAGUGAUAACAAGUAAUGACGCGGAGAAAGCCAAAGUGUUUGACAUCAAGAAAACAUAGUAAGGAUGUUUUUGAGACGCAUAAAUUGCUCUGCCAGCUGCAUGAUGUUCUUGAACGUUAUCAUCCUGCCAGAGUCCACCAGGAGGAUUUACCCCAGCUUGGAAGGUCACUGCAGCAAUCAGUGUGGCAAUCACCAGCAAAGCAUUCCGUGCAUCAUUUGGUGAGUCCCUUUCUUUAUCAUAUUGAAAUCUCUUGAACCAGCUAAUGCUUCUCUCGGUAUUUUGAGGGUGUACUUGAGCCAUUUUUGUCCAAGCAGCAACUUAUGAUGCCAAACACUUUAAUGAGUACCUUUAAAUAAGCUAGAUGCAUACAAUGAGUCCAAGACAUUACCUUAAUUUUUUAUUAAAAAAUUCAAAACAUUAAUUUGCAGAAAAUAAUACCUAUAAUGAUUGGAGCAUAGUUAUAGAAUAUGUAUGGUAUGGUAACUUGUUAAGCUCGAGCUCUGAACAUAUUUAAAAAAUAACUUUGUUAAACUUGAUUGAUUUGGUUGAACUCAGACAAGAUUUAAUUAACUUAAUUCUAGGAAUUUUUGUUAUUAUUUUAUCUAAAAUGAUAUAUUUUUAUUUUUUGAAAAAAAAUUAAAUUUGUUUUAAGAUUGAUCCAACAAAUUAAUUCACAAUCGAUAAAGUCUAAUAAGUAUGGAUUGAAAUAGAAAAAGAACCGGUAACUCUCUAUCAACCGGUUUAAUAUUUAAUUGUGUAUAUACACAAUUAAAUAUCAAACCGGUUCCAACCUCGUGACAAAUUGAUCUCCUUUCUGCAAUCCCGAAUCACAGCUUUCAACCUUGACAUUGAUAUGAAUGCAUGUUUUCACAUGCAAGUUUCAACUCCCCGAAGAUGUGAGAUUCCUAACUCUUGUCCUUGUUGCUACCCAAUUUUUUACCCAUGUUUUGAUAUAUUUUUAAAAAAUCCAAAAAAUUAAGAAAAACAAAGAAAAUCCAAAAAAUAUGUUUUUUUAAUAUAUUUUCGUCAUUUUAGCAUUUUCAACGUCGUCUAAAAAAGAAUUUAAAUUGUUAAAAGAUUUUCAAACGCGUUCGACUUUUCACGCGUCAUUUUUAAAUCAUUGAUUUUCCGCAUUUGAGUCGACGUUGAUAUUGCUCGUUUUCAAAAAAUAAGAAAAAUCAAAAUUUACAAAAAAAAAAGAAGUUGAGGGACCAAGUUGAAAAACCUAACAAAAGUUUUCCUAUAAAUACCAUGCUAAACUGAUUUUUCAAGGGGGGGCAAUUUUGACAACUUCAAAAAAAAAAUACAAAACCUAACCCUAAACCCAUUUUUUCAAGACAAGCCGCCCCCCCCCGGUUUGAAAUUUUUUGAACCUCCAGCCGUUGCUCCUUCUCGCCCCGACCUUGGCCUUUGAUUUUUGGAGAUCAGCCAAACAGCAGCAGAUGAUUUUUUGAAUUUUUUCUUCCCCAAAAACAGUCGGACUCCAGUCUCCUCUUCCCCGACGAUCGUUCCCUUCACCCGACUCUCCCAAAACCAGAGAAAACCAAAGGAUCGGCACCUUUCCCCCUCAAAAUCAGCCCCACAGACUAGCCAAACAGCAGCCCCCGCACCUUUUGAAUUUUUUUCUCUUCUCACUCAAUCGGCGCAGCCCCCUUCCCCGGUGUAUAUAUUUCUUUUUUUUUCUCUUCACUUUUCCCCGCUGCACCACCAUCUCCAUCAACGCCGGCCUCCACCUUGACAACCGCCAAACUAGCUGCCAGGUCCACCGUAGCUUCAACAGGUCCAGUUCAACCCCGCACCGGACAAAGACCAGCGCCAGCCGCCUGCUUCCCCUUCCCCGAUCUGUUCAUCUCCAUCAACCCGAAGCCUUCGCCCUCAGCACCAGCUUCUCCUCUCAUCGCCGAACACGGCGACACCACCUUCCAGCCAGCAGGCCACGGUCUCCCUCACCAGCAUAGACGCGACGAAGCUUCGUUCAUCGGCCACCAGCAGCGCCGUCCACAUCCGGCCACCGAUCCACCAUCAACCAGCCGCCGCCUAACCACCUGCAGCAGAGAAGAAGAUGGCGAAGCCCAAAAAACAGAUCCAGCACCGGAGGAGGAGAGAACGGAAAUGAGCAGAUCCGGUGAAGAGAGAAAGAACAGAUCUGAAAAAAAACUAAGAAAAAAUCGAAACCAACAGCUUGGUUUGCGUCUUUUUUGUUGUUUGCAGGUGGUUUUGUUUCCUAACAACCAGCAAGGAAGGGAAGAGAAGAAGAAAGCAGGCCAGAUCCAGUUGUUUCCGGGCAUUUUCUGGGCGGCGCGUGGUCCCACGCGCCGCCAGUGACGGUGGCGCAUGGAGGGGACGCGCCGCCACUGUUCACAUGUUCAGAAACCUUCCUCAGCACUGCAUGCGGUUCCAAAAAAGCUUCACCGACACUGUUAUUGGAUUUUGUGGAGGGGGUUUUAUUUUGUAAUUUUUGAAUUGUUCAAUAUUUUUGAAUUGUUUAACGUAUUGUUUUUUUAUUUAUUUAUUUUGAAUUUUGGUGAUUUGUAAGAUGUUAAUGGUAUGGAAUUGUGUAUAUAUGUAAAAGAAAAGAAAAAAGAAAAACAAAAACAAAAACAAAAAAUAGUGAAAGUGUACCUGUGUGUUUUUUUUAUAUUUGUUUUAUGAGUGUUUUAUUUAUUUUUUUAUUUAUGAAAAAAUUGCAAAGAUUAAAGAAGAAUUUAAUAUUUUGAUUGGAUCACGGUUAAGAAUUAUUAACUUAUACGUAAGUAAUAUUUCUAAUUUCCGAUGAAAAGACAAUUAUUAAAACUUCUUUAACACGUCAAAGCCACGAAGCAGUUUACCUCAGGUAGGGUGCGUUAGGGGUGUUAAUACCUUCCCUAACCACAACUAGUCCCUUACCCGCGCAUCUCUGACAAGACCAGUACAUCCGGUUUCCUAGUAGCCCGAAAUCAAUUACUAGGUGGCGACUCCAACGAACCAAAUUCAAAACAAAUACAACGAGAAAAUCGCCAGCCAAUGCCGCGCGUUGAAUGUUUUUGGGGUGCGACAGUCCUAAUCUGUCCAACGAAGUGAAAAAUAAGACCAAGACCCGCAUUAACCGGUAGCAUUCAUUAGCGAACUCUCUCUGGGCCCUCUCUCUUGCAUUUCUGAAAAAAUAGGCUGCCUUAAGAAAAGUUAGAGGAUUUCUCCUUCAUGCCCUUGCUCGCCCAACGCUAAAGCCCUUCCUUCCGUUCCUGAUGAAACUACUCAUCCUUAGAGAUGCUCCACAGAUGUGGAAUAACAUAUUCUUUAAUCGACGGUAAUUCCGCAAAGAGAGGAGCUUAACGCCCUGUUUCAUGGAUGGUCUUUGUAUUCUUUAAACACUACAUAUCUCGUCCUUGCAUGUCACCUAACAUCCUUUAGGAAUCUUCCUAUCUAUUGACUUCAAAAUUUCAAGCUAUAUAGCUCAACUGGCAGGAGGGUUCCGGCCCUCCCCUCGAGAGAUAUCGCGCCUCUCCUUUGUAAUAACAAUACAUGAAAACUUUAAAAUUUCAAUGCUGGAGGUGUGCACACAGAAUAUUAACUUCAGAAACAUGUCAACAGUCACGGAUCACCUUCCCUGAGAUUUGGACAGUUUUCUUUGUAGUAAUUAAUAAUCACUUCGUCAAUAACUAAGUGUUCGUAAAUAUUAAUGCAGCGACCCAAACAUGUCUUUCGGCUGAUCGAUUAUUGAAAUGCCGGCUUGCUGGUUUGGUUGAUGGGCCUUAAUUUAGAAAGGAGACUUGUACAGGUCUUGAAAGCGUACACGAGGAAGAAAGCUUCGUUGGUUUUGUGCGUCCUCCCUUACUGUGUGAAAUGAACAUUUUUUUCCCGUAUUUUUUUUUUUAACUAACUACACAAUUCAUGGAAGGUACAAAACCAAAUGUCAAAAACAGGCUGUAUGGCUAAAUAUAAUAUAUGUUGGAGUUUUGACUUGGCGUAUUUAGGAAUUAAAUUUUCUUGAAUGUUGGUUACAAAGUUUAGAUAAAAGAAAAAUUCAAGAGUGAUUAUCAAACUAUUUACUGAUUUAACUUAAUUUAGAUAAACUACAUUAAUUUUUUUUGAAUAAAACUAGAAAUGAAUUAUUACAAACUUUAAUACAUUACAUUGAAUUUAGUUGCUAAGUUUUAAAUAGUCUAAACUCAGGCUUAUAAUUAGUCCAGUAACAUCCGAGUAACUCACCAAAUCAACUCAAAAACCGUGUGACUUGACAAAACCUGGAUGAGACCCGACCUUUUGUUUUUAUAUAUUUAAAAAAAAACCCAAAAAAUAUAAAGCUAAUUUAUGAAUAUUUAGCAUGAUAUAUUUUUUUUAUAGUCUACAUUCCUAUGAAAUAUUUUUUAAUUUUUUCAUGUGAGAUAACUAUAUAUAUAUAUAUAUAUAUAUAUAUAUAUAUAUAUAAUGUUUAUUAACUUUUAAAUGUGGGAUAACUAUAUACUCUUCAUUCACAUAGAUUAUUUCUAAAUUAUUUUAUAGGAUAACUAUAUAUAUAGACUAUAUACACAAGUAAUGUUUCUUUUAAUUUUUUCAUGUAGGAUAACUAUAUAUAUAGCUCAUAUCCACAUAAAAUUUUUUUUUAACUUUUUAAUAAGGAAUAUUAAAAUCUUAUUUUUUUUUAUUUUUUUAAGUUAACUAGGGUUAAAUCUGUAUGCCUUAGACUCCACUUCUUGGUAUUAAAAACUGAAUUGAGUUGCUGGUUAAUUCAAUGAUGGAUCUUGGGAAUUACUAUAUUUUUAUUAUACAGUUGUUUGCCUCCUGGAAAUUUUCUGCCGUUUCAACAAUAUUGCCUUUGGAAAAAGUGCUAAUCUUACAUCUACAUCCCUUAGCGAGUGUUCCUCACGCCUGUCUUCUUGUUGCGAGACUUGUUUGCUCGAGUACAUACAGUAUGAUUCAAGGAGUGAUCAAGAUUUCCAAUAUUAGAAAGUACUUUCUCAUAUCACCUGCCCAAGUUUUUGCAAACUAGUAGAACAAACAGUAUGCUGAGGAGUCUUUCAGUCCGCAGAACAAAUUUAUUAAGCCUCGAUUCGUUUGUUUGUUUGCAGUAAAGUAAAUUUUUUUUAAAAAAUAAAUUUUAGAAAAAGUAAAUUUUUAGAAAGUAAAUUUCAGAAAAGUAUUUUAUGAUGUUUGGUAGUAUUAUGAAAAACACUUUACAGUAUUUGAUUGUAUUAUGAAAAAUAAACUGAAAAAUAAUUUAUUAAUAAAUUAAUUUUUUUAAAAAUUUAUCUAAUAUAUAUAAAAUAUUUAAUCACUUACAAUAAAAAAAAUAAAAUCUAAAAUGUAUAAUAAUGAAUUUUUUUUAUUAUAUUCUAUAUUCAUACAUAGCUUAUUUUAUAAAAUAUAACUAUAUAUAUCAUAUUAUAUUAUAAAGAAAUAAGCUUGUGAAAUAUUUUUUAUUAUUCAAUGAAACCAUUUAUAAUUCCAUUACAUACGAAAUACAUCCAACAAAAACUAUAGUUUUAAUAAUAAUUUUAGCAUGUAAUAAAAUUAGAUAAAAUAUUAAGGUAUAAAAUUCACUCUAAACUAUUUUUUUUAAAAUGUUAAAAAUAUAGCACACUAAAAAAACAAAAAAAAAAUUACCGCAGGCAAGUGAACAGAACUGCACUGUUCACUAUUUUUUAAGUGAACAGUAUAUACAUUGUUCAUGUUAAUUGCACUAUUCAUAAAAACAUGAAAAAGCAAUAGUGAACAGAACUGCACUGUUCACUAUUUUUUAAGUGAACAGUGUAUGCAAUACACUGUUCAUAAAAACAUGAAAAAGCAAUAUUGGCCGACAUCAAGAAGGUCUUUUUCAAUAAUAAAAAAUGAAAACACUUUCCUUAAACUUAACAUUUUCUUUUUAUCGGAAUUGAAUUUUUUUUAACUUACUUUGUAUGUAUUUGUCAAACAUAAAAAAGUAAGGAAAAUAAUUUCCAGGAAAGUGGUUUACGAAAACAAACGGGCCUUAAAUGGUGUUUGAAAGCGCCAUGCUGAUAUUGUUGAGUUCAAGCAACAGUUCGUCGACUCAACAACUCUGUAUUUAAGGAAAAAGAUCACAGCACAGCAGCCCUCAACACAGCUUCCCUUCCAUGACAAACCUUAGCAAAGGGAUGUCAAAGAUCUUAGAUGAGGCAUCGUAUUAGUUUUUUUAAGGGACAUGUAAGUUCUUGAUUCUUCUUUAGUGAUGGAAAUUUGAAUUUCUUGGAUUUGGUUUCUGGGAAUUUGUUGGUUCUUGCUCUGGUUUUAAACAAAGUUAGAAUCUUGAAAUUCUGGAAAUCGACACACACACACACACACCCAUUGGAUUCGCAAUUCUCUAGUGCUCAAGGAAAAUUGAAGUUCUUUGAUUUCCUUGUCGAGGAUUUAUUUUCUUUAAAUCGCUUCUCUUGAUUUGACUUUUCUCAAUUAUCUGCAUCUUCAUGGUCAUUUAAUUUCUGUCUUAUGAUCCUAUGAUCUGAGUUUGGAACUCAAUAAACCCAGAUAGGAGAAGUUUGGUUCUUUGAAGUUUUUUUGAUUAAGGAAGUUCUUGGUUUAUUUCUGUAAAGUGGCACUUUUUUUUUCCAGCCAUGUGACUCCCUAUCCUGAACUUUCAGCUAGCCCAGCUAGCCACUUUAAAGUUUAAAUGCAUGUGAUGUUGAUGUAUCACAAGUUCAUCCAGGUGGUAAUUUAAAACCUGUAUCUGUGAAAAAUGCCUCUCAAGGUUUCCUACUAUGGCAAUUACCUUCAAAUAGUAAAACUCAUCUUUGAUUCCUGACUCCUGUCUUGUGAUUUUCAGGUAUUACAACAAUGCUUACCAUGCAAGAGUUGGAGGGAUUAGCACGAUUGAGAUGAACUAUCUAGAAGUGGAUUUUCUAUUUGGAUUAGGCUUCAAUUUAAACGUGACUCCAAACACCUUCCACACUUACUGCUCCUACCUUCAGAGAGAGAUGAUGCAACAACCUUCUCUGAAUUUAGCUGAAUCUUCAUUGAACUUGGGGAGAUCACUAAAAGUUCACCUGUGCUUCAAUGAAGAUGAGACAUCCCAUCAACAACAGCAACUUGCUGUUUAAGCUACAGCUUGUUUAAUUAUAAUCCCUGGAAAAUGUAGUUAGUUAUAGAGAUAGUGGAAAAAAGUGCUAAUCUUACAUAGGCUAUCAUCAUUGAGGCUGUAGCGACCCAUAUUUCAAGAUGGAAAGGGAUCCAGCUGUAAGUGAGAGACGUAACGACAAGCAUACUUUGUCUACGCGGCUGCGGCUGCGUUUUAGUAAUAAAAAAAAGUAAUUUACUGUGCAUGGGAUCCACAUGCUUUUUGCGUUUAAAACGCUGAAAAGGAAAAGCUACCGAAACAUGUUUUUCAUUCUUUUCGGGUUAAUAAAAAAUAAAGAACAGUGCAAUUCUCAUGCACUAUUCACAGUGAAUUGCACUGUUCACGUGAACAGUGCAAGUGAAGUUUUUUUUAUUUUUUUUAUUAUUAUAAUAAUGUGUUAAUACUUAAUUGUAUUGAUUUCAAAAAAAAAAAAAAAAACUUGUUUAGAGAAUUAAAUUAAUUCGGGAUGCAGAGUGAAUUAAAUUCACUCGCACAGUAAUAUCAAUUUUGUAGUUUUUAUCGAAUGAAUUUUGCACGUAAUGAAAUUAUAAAUUGUUUAAUAGAAUAAUAAAAAAUAUUUUAUAUAAAGUAUUAUUUUUUUCAUGAUGUAAUAGGAGUAAUUAAUUUUACAAUAUUUAAAUUUAAAACCAUCAAUAUUAAUAUAUAUAUAUAUAUAUAUUUUAAUUAAUUUAUAACCUUAAUUUCAAAAGCAUUCUUAACCAAACACAUUAAACUACUUUUUUUUCAACCUCAAUUUCAACCACAAUUUUAACCAAACACCUAUUUUUUCAAAUCAACCUCAACUAAAAAUACUUUUUAUAAAACAAUUUUUUUCAAACCACAACUACAACAGCUACCGCAAUGUCAAACACACUCGAUCAUCGUACUGAAAUCUCUUGAACCAGCCAGCACUCUUUUAUUAUUGUUUCUAUCAGGUUGAGACAUUUUCAACUAAAUCAUUCAGUAACUACAAUUAAUUAACUGGCUCCUUAAUUCAUUUUGAGUUUCAACCGACAGUUCCUCAAUCACUUUUACUAAUUUUCCAUUCAGAAAUCUUAAUUAUAACUAUCAAAAUAAUACCACAAAAAAUUGCGAUUUCUUUUUUAUUUUAGCUUAAAUUGAUGUUAACAAAACAAAACCCUAACAAUAAUAAAGAUUAUGUGUUCAGUAAUUUACUAAAUUAAAGCGAGUGAUUCAAAAAUACUGAUCCCUACUGCUGAUAAUUAAAAAAUAUAUAAAAAAAAACAGAAAAAUCUUUAUUAACUCACAACAACACGUGAUGAUACCUGGCUAGGUAUCACUUGAUAGAAAAGACUACAAGAGCUGACAAUAAGAGCAAGGCUGCCACAACUGGAGGACUUACAACGGAAUUAGAAAUAAAAAUUAAGUCCACAUUAGCGCAUGGGCUUUACCUACUCUUGUUGACCUUCUUGCCCUUCCCUGUUGUCUCCUUCUUCCUGACUUCCUCUUUGAUUCUCAUUCUCACUCGUACAGUACUUCUUGAAGAAAUAAUUCAAACACCUCAUCACAAAAGGCACUGAAGCUGUAAUCAAAAGAUAGCGAAAAUGCACAGAUUCACGAGGAGUAACAGCAAUAACCGCAGAUGCAUAGGUUAUCAUCAUUGAAGCUGUAGCAACCCAUAUUUCAAGAUGGAAAGGGAACCUGUAAGUGAGAGAUAUAAUGACAAGUAUACAAGUGGAGAGAGCCAAAGUGUUUGAUACCACGAAAACCAAGUAAGCACCCGUUUGAGAUGCAUAAAUUGCUGUUCCUGCAUUCUUUCCUUCUUGCCAGACCCCUCCAGGAGGGUUCACCCCAGCCUGGAAAGUCACUGCUGCAAUCAAGGCCACAACUACUAGCAAAACAUUUCUAGCAUCGCUUGUUGUGUCUUUGGCUGGAUUAUACUGAAAUUUCUUUAACCAGUUGUAACUUCUUCUAGGAAUGUGAGGCAUUUUUACUUGGGCAAAGAUAUGUGGGAGAUACCAGCACUCUGGCUCUCAAGAAGUUGUUUAUAAAGACCCUCCGUUCUAAAGGAUGGGCCCUGCCUGAUCAAUCAUCACAUAUGUUUCUCAGAUUUGAUAUCUGUACACAGUACACCUAAUGAAUAUAGCCCCAGGAAAAGAACGAACGUAGAAAAAGAAAAGCUGUGUGCGUGAGCAAAGAAACCAUGUUUGUUUUCGUGGAAAAUUAUAUACAUUUCGCUUUUCUUUGGUUUUAUAUUUUUUUUAUAGCCUACAUCUCCAUGAAAUAUUUUUUAAUUUUUUUAUGUGAAAUAACUAUAUUUACAACUUAUAUAUAUAUAUAUAUAUAUAGAAUGUUUAUUAACUUUUAAAUAUAGGAUAAAUAUAUACCCUUCAUUUACAUAGAUUAUUUCUUAACUAUUUUAUGUGAUAACUAUAUAUAUAUAUAUCCACAUCAAAUAUUUUUUUAAUACCAAGAAGUGGAGUCUAAGCAUACAGAUUAACCCUAGUUUUUGCAAACUAGUAGAACAAAUUUAUUAAAUGGUGUUUGAAAGCGCUAAGCUGAUAUUGUUGAGUUCAAGCAACAGUUCGUCGACUCAACAAUUCUGUAUUUAAGGAAAAAGACAGCACAGCAGCCCUCAACAGAUGUAGCAGCUUCCCUUCCAUGACAAACCUGAGCAAAGGGAUGUCAAAGAUCUUAGAUGAGGCAGCGUAAGGGUUUUUUUUAAGGGACAUCUGAAAAUUAAUUGACCAACUCGGGAUUGUCAAGUGAAUGCCAAAAUUAGUUUAUUAUUUGUCCCAGGGAAAAAUAAACUCUGAUUUGCUUCAGAAAAGUUUAGUUGGAGAAAUAAAGUUCAGUGCAGAGAACAAUGAAAAAUGAAAAUAAUUUAGUCAAAUAAUACUUGAUAAUUUUUAUUUUGUGCACGAAAAAAGAUUAAGAAAAAUAUUUGUUAAUGAUCACGUUGAAUAUGAUAUUUUUUUAUAGAGAAUUAAAGAGUUAAAAAGAGCAAGGCUGGUACAACCGGAGGAGUUACAAUGGAAUUAGAAACAUAAAAGCCCACAUUAGUGUGGGAUUAAACUACAAAAAUAUAAAAACUCUACACUUGUUGACCUGCUUGCCCAUCCUUUUUAUCCCUUUUAGCUCCGUCUUCCUCUCUUCCAAUUUGACUCCAUUCUCACUUAGGGUGUGUUUGAUAUUGUGAUUACUGUUAUGGUUGUGGUUUUAAAAAAAUUAUUUUAUAAAAAGUAUUUUUAGUUGAGGUUGGUUUGAAAAAAUAUAUGUUUGGUUAAAACUGUGGUUGAAAUUGAGGUUGAACAAAAAGUAGUUUAAUGUGUUUGGUUAAAAAAAUGCUUUUCAAAUUGAGGUUAUAAAAUAAUUUAAAAAUACUUUUAAUUUAAAUAUUGUAGAUUUAACUACCAUUAUUACAUCAUGAAAUAAAUAACUAUAUUUUUCAUGAUUUCUUAAGAACACAACAAUAAAAACUGAAUUUUUUGUUCCUUCAUCAAGUGAUCUCCUUCUAAUUUUUUGAAUAAAAUAGAAUUAAAAUAAAAAUAAAAACUGAAUUUAAUUUUUUUAACUGGGUCUGACACGGCAAGAACAUAAUUGGAAUUGCGAUCAAAUUCCACAAAUGCUACGUCAUCAUGCUAUAUCCUUCUAAUUUAUGUAGUGUUAUUAAAUAAUAGUUUUUUAAACUAAAACUCAAUUUUUUUUUAAAAAAAAAUUACAAUUUCAUUACGUACAAAAUUUAUUCGACAAAAAAUAUAGUUUUCAUGAUUUUUUGAGCAUGCAAUAAAAUUAGGUAAAAUAUUAUCAGGAAUAAAAUUGAGAUUACAGUAUAAGUAAAUUUAAUUCACCUUAAACUAAUUUUUUUUUAAAAAAAAAAUAGUGUUCACGUUUACAUGAAUAGUGCGAGUGAAAUCACUGGUUUUUUUUUAAUUGCACUGAUUUUUCAAAAAAAAAAAACUUUUCUUGGUUUUUCGAAAUUAAAAAAAAAAAACUAAAACUCUGAUUUAAGUUUAGGGAACAGUGCGAGUGAAUUCACUCGCACUGUACAUUGUAAACUUUUCUUGGUUUUUUGAAAAAAAAAAAAACCGUUGUUUAAGUUUAGGGAACAGUGAAGCCAUGCUCCACUGUUCCAGCGUUUUUCCUUCAGGAGAAGCAGCAUUUUGGUGCUUCUCCCAAACCGCCGUUUCAAUUAAAAAAUGAGUGGGCCCUACCAGUCAAAAGCAAGUUUCAUUUUGUUACCAAACAAAAAUUUACGUGGCUGCGGGUGAACCUCAUCCGUAGCCACGUUCCCAAACGGCACCUUACACAGUACUUCUUGAAGAAAUAACACAAACACCUCAUCACAAGGCACUGAAGCUGCAACCAGAAAGAUAGGGAAAAUGCACAGAUUCAUGAGGAGUAACUGCAUAAACCGCAGAUGCAUAGGCUAUCAUCAUUGAGGCUGUAGCGACCCAUAAGUGAGAGACGUAACGACAAGCAUACAAGUGGAGAGAGCCAAAGUACACCAUUUUAUUACAUAAAAUAUUCCUAUUCGGUGGAAAAUAUUAACAAGAAAAUGAUGGAAGAAGGAUUCUAUUGAGAAAUGUGUGAUUGAGAAAUGUGUGAUGAGGCUUUAUUAUUAUUAUUAUUAUUGCUUUGAAGUAUCCAAUCCAACAAUGUCUUAAGCUGACCUAUGGCAUUAGCUUUUGCAUAUAUAUGAUUUCUAAUUAAUUAACCUGCCAACGCUAGCAUUAAUGUUGUUUUAGUGCUUUUUUGUACAUAAAUACUAAUUUUGUAUUCAAAAUAUUAAUUAUAAAAUUAACUAUCAAAUUAAUACCACAAAGAUUGUGCUAUUUUUUAUUUUAGCUCAUAAAUUGACGUCGACAAAACAAAACCUUAACAACAAAUAGAAAUCAUAAUUAAAUAUAAGGAGAGGCCCUUUAACAAUAAUAAAUAUUAAGUGUUCAGUAAUUUACUAAUUUGAAAUAAGUAAUUUAGAAAUCACUCCCUGCUGAUAAUUAAAUAUUGAAAAAAUAAUUAAUAAAAGAUUACAAGACAAUGAGAGCAAGGCUGCUGCGGAUGGAGGAUUUACAAUGAAAAUAGAAAAAUAAAAAAACCCACAUUAGAGUGGGUUUAGGGGUCUUUAAUUAAUAUUGUAGUCGAAUAUACUUUUUAAAAAUAUUUUUUAAAAAAAUAAAUAAAUAUUAAAAUAAAUAUUUUUUAUUAUUUUUUACACCAAAACAUUAAAAUUAUAAAAAAUACUAAAAAAUAUUAAUUUUAUAUAGCCUUACAAAUUCUAUUAAGCUAAUACUUCAAUCUUUAUCCAAUAAAAAAGAGAACCAAUCAACUCAUUAUUUUCUGAAUAUGCUAAAACUCUCUUAACAGAGAUUGACUCGUGUAUUAUUGAGUUCUAAUAAUAUUAUAAUUUUUAUAAAUCCCAUGAAUCACUUUUAAUUUUUGUUAAAUUAUAACUAUUCAGCCAUUUUUUAUUAGCAUUUCUAGAUGUUCAUGAGUGGAGUUCUUUUUUAAAAAACGUACGUCCUAUCAUUAAUCAGUUAGACAAUUUUAAUAUAUAUCCAAUUCAUGGGUGAAGUGGGAUUACCAGUGUCGGGUAUCUGGGUAUCCAAAUAGCCCCACCAGGAGAAGAAAGGUGCAAAUUUGGACUAAAGUUAGACUGAAUUCCAAGUAUCUGUGAUCCAGCUUUAAAACGCUACGUUUUAAGGAAAACCUAAUUUAUUCUCUAAUUUAUAUGUUCAAUCUUAACUGGAUCUCAAUCAGACCUAUAAAUUUUAUCAAUUUGAUGUCAAAUAUUCUAUAAACAAUUCUUAAUCAGGUUCUUAUGUUAAUAUUAAUUACUUUUUUAAUAUUUUUUUUCAAAGCAACAUCCUUUUAUUACAUAAAAUAUAUAUCUAUUCGAUGGGCCAAAAAUAUUUUGAUGGAAGGAGGACUGAUCUAUUGAGAAAUGUGGGAAAAAGGAUCGAGAAAUUACUUUAACAAAAAGCUUAAAUUAACCCAUUGGAGUACUUGUUAUGCUAAUUAAUUAUUCUUAAUAAAAACUGAGAUAUGAUAUAUAUUUAUUACUGAUACUGUGAGCUUCACUGUACUGGCAGCAUGCAACCAGGUAAUAAAGCUAACAAUAAAAGAACCAAGAAGAAGAUUUAAGUUAUAGUUAUUAGAAAAGAUAUAUAUAUAUAUAUAGGGAGGUUACAGGGUUGAACUUUAUUUUCUUACGCUGUUAUAAUCAACGCUUACAGCAAUAUCAGAACAUUUCUGAUCUCAGCAAAAAAAAAAAAAAAGAAUCAAACAUAAAACGCUUACAGAAAUUGAUUGGCAUCUAGAUGCACUAUCUUCGAAAUGCCACAAGAUCAUAUAUAUUUGAAGAACAUAAAGCAGCUUAAACUAGAAAAUGGAAACUGUUUUUUAUGCUAGUUGAUGAUUGUGAAAGUGAUGCAGCAUUUCAAGCAUCUUCUCUUGAUUUUGUGGGCUGAUUCCACUUUUAUGUUUGACCCAUAAAGGAGGUUCUGGACUCCUUAAUGGACUAGAAAACCAAAGCCGAGCGACCACUCUAAAACAAAGCCCAAAGCGUACAAUCAACUAAUUUAGUUCAAGCGUACAAUGCUGGGCGCUGAAAAAAACGAGAAAAAAUAGUAAUGGGCUCAAAAAAAUCAGUAAUGCGCUCGGAAUAUCAAUAAUGGGCUUUCUAUCUUGCUAGGCUUUCAAUUGCCGGUCAUUAUGUAAAAUAUUUAAUUUCUUUUAAAACGGCCCGUAAGAAAUGUUUAGUAGGAGCUUAGCCCAUCCCUAGAGGAAUAAAGACCUUCUAAAGUAUUUUUCUUCUUCUUUUGGAAUAAAAUGAUUUUGAGUGCCUAAAACUUGAUCAACGUAUCUUUGGAAAGAAAUCAUGUUGUUAGAUACUCAAUGUUAUGUCAUGAAGAUAUUAGAUUUUAUUUAAAUAAUUAAAGCUUCACAUUUUCUCAAACAAGAAAAUGAUUAUAUAUAUAUUUUAAAAAAACUAAUUCAGAAUUCUUUCAACUAGCUUACCACUAAUUACUCAAAAUUAAAUAUGCUUGAAUGUUGGUUACAAAAUUUAGAUAAAAGAAAAAAUCAAGAGUGAUUAUCAAACUAUUUAGUGAUUUAACUUAAUUUAGAUAAACUAUAUUAAUUUUUUUGGAUAAAAACUAGAAAUGAAUUAAUACAAACUUCAAUACAUUAAAUCAAAUUUAGUUGACCCAGAACUCAAGUAACCCGUGAUAUUGGCUAGGUUUAAAUGGUCUAAACUCAGGCAUAUAACUAGCCCAAUAACACCCAAGUAACUCGCCAGAUCAACCUAAAAACCAUGUGACGUAGUAAAACCUGGGUGAGACCCGACUUUUUGUUUUUAUAUAUAAAAAAAAACCAAAAAAAUAUAUAGCUAAUUUAUGAAUAUUUGGCCUCAUUUUUUUUUUAUAUAGCUUAUAUUCCCAUGAAAUAUUUCUUAAAUUUUUCAUGUAAAAUAACUAUAUUUAUAGCAUGCAUGCAUACAUACAUAUAUAUAUAUAUGGAAUGUUUAUUAACUUUUACAUGUGGGAUAAAUAUAUACCCUUCAUUCACAUAGAUUAUUUCUUAAUUAUUUUAUGGGUUAACUAUAUAUAUAGACUAUAUACACAAUUAAUGUUUCUUUUAAUUUUUUCAUGUAGGAUAACUAUAUAUAUAUAUAUUUCAUAUCUACAAAAUAUAUUUUUAACUUUUUAAUAAGAAAUAUUAAAAUCUUAUUUAAAAAAAAAAAAAUUAAGUUAACUAGGGUUAAUCUGUAUACCUUAGACUCCACUUCUUGGUAUUAAAAACUGAAUUGAGUUGCUGGUUAAUUCACUGAUGGAUCUUGGGAAUUAAUAUAUUUUUAUUAUACAGCUGUUUGCCUCCUGCAAAUUUUCUGGCGUUUCAACAAUGCCUUUGGAAAAAGUGCUAAUCUUACAUCUACAUCUCUUAGCGAGUGCUCCUCACGCCUGUCUUCUUGCUGCGAGACUUGUUUGCUCGAGAACAUACAGUAUGAAACAAGGAGUGAUCAAGAUUUCCAAUAUUAGAAAGUACUUUCUCAAAUCACCUGCCCAAGUUUUUUCAAACUAUCUAGUAGAACAAACAGUAUGCUGAGGACUCUUUCAGUCCGCAGAACAGAUUUAUUAAAUGGUGUUUGAAAGCGCCAUGAUGAUAUUAUCAAAAACUCAUUUCAAUUCAAUAACUUAAGUUGUUAGAUGAAUUUUCAAGAUAUGAUUUAUAUUAUUUUUUAACAUAUCCCCUCAAGUAAAAACCUUUUGAACUCGAAACUUGCAUAGAUUUACAUUACUUUAUGCUUAAUUUUUAUCAAAUAAAUAGAAAUGAUGAGAUUUAAAUUCAUGACCACUUGGUCAUUAAGACUCUGAUAUCAUGUCAAAGAAUAAUCUGAAUCCAAUAAUUUAAAUUAUUAGAUGAGAUUUCAAAAUAUAAUUUAUAUUAUUUUCUGUAAGAUAUUAUUGAGUUUAAGCAACAAUUCUGUAUUUAAGGAAAAAGAUAACAGCACAGAAGCCCUCAACACGUGUAGCAGCAACAGUUCGUCAACUCAACAAUUCUUCUGUUUUUAAAGAAAAAGAUAGCAGCACAGCAGCCCUCAACACAUGUAGCAGCUUCCCUUCCAUGACAAACCUGAGCAAAGGGAUGCCAAAGAUCUUAGAUGAGGCAGCGUAAGGGUUUUUUUAAGGGACAUCUGAAAAUUAAUUGACCAACUCGGGAUUGUCAAGUGAAUGCCAAAAUUAGUUUAUUAUUUGUCCCAGUCAAAAAUAAACUCUGAUUUGCUUCAGAAAAUUUUAGUUGGAGAAAUAAAGUUUAGUGCAGAGAACAAUGAAAAAUGCAAAUAAUUUAAUCAAAUAAUACUUGAUACUUUUUAUUUUGUGCACGAAAAAAGAUUAAGAAAAAUAUUUGUUAAUGAUCACGUUGAACAUGAUAUUUUUUAUAGAGAGUUAAAGAGUUAAAAAGAGCAAGGCUGCUACAACCGGAGGAGUUACAAUGGAAUCAGAAACAUAAAAGCCCACAUUAGUGUGGGAUUAAACUAAAAAAAUAUAAAAACCCUACACUUGUUGACUUGCUUGCCCAUCCUUUUUAUCCCUUUUGGCCCCGUCUUCCUCUCUUCCAAUUUGACUCUCAUUCCCACUCACACAGUACUUGUUGAAGAAAAAACCCAAACUUGAAGCUGCAACCAAAAGAUAGCGAAAAGGCACAGAUUCAUGAGGAGUAACAGCAAAAACCGCAGAUGCAUAGAUGAAUAAAUUGCUCUUCCUUUAUAAUGUCUUUCUUGCCAGGCCCCUCCAGGAGGAUCCACCCCAGCUUGGAAUGCAGUACUGUUGCAAUCAAGGCCACAACUACUCUGGCAUCGCUUGGUGAGUCUCUGUCUUGAUCAUACUGAAAUCUCUUGAACCAGCUAGCACUUCUUUUAUUAUUGUUUCUAUUAAUUAGGUUGAGACAUUUUCACUCAGGCUAAGAUAUGUGCGUGAUAACAGGAAGUUACUUAGAAAGAGCUUUUUUGGAGAGAAAUAGUAAAGAAUAAUAUAAAUUAUAUUUUAUGAUAUUAUUUAAUAAUUUAAAUUAUUGAAUUCAAAUUGUUUGUCUGUGAAAAUUUUAAACCCAAAAAAUAGCAAAAUUCCUUAUUGGCUUCGAGCAAGGCGAACAUGCCCACAGUCUUGAAGUACUAAAGUUGGUUUAAUGAUUUAUAAAAAAAAUAUGGUUUGAUUGCCUAUCUUAAUCUGUAUGAAAUCGGGGGAAUCGUGAUUAGUCUUGCAUUGACCUUAAAGUUUUUUUCAUAAAAGGAUAUUUACUUGAUAUAAAUUAAGAUUAUUCUUGUGCAGAUCGCCUUUCUUACUUCAAAUUUUGUUACAAAGUUCCAACUAAAUCAUUCAGUAACUACAAUUAAUUAACUUGCCCCUUAAUUCAUUUUGAGUUUCAACCGACAGUUCCUCAAUCAUUUUACUAAUUUUCCAUUCAGAAAUCUUAAUUAUAACUAUCAAAAUAAUACCACAAAAAAUUGCGAUUUCUUUUUUAAUUUUAGCUUAAAUUGAUGUUAACAAAACAAAACCCUAACAAUAAUAAAGAUUAUGUGAUCAGUAAUUUACUAAAUUAAAGUGAGUGAUUCAAAAAUUACUGAUCCCCACUGAUAAUCAAAAUAUAUAUAAAAAAAAAACAGAAAAAUCUUUAUUAACUCACAACAACACGUGAUGAUACCUGGCUAGGUAUCACUUGAUAGAAAAGACUACAAGAGCUGACAAUAAGAGCAAGGCUGCUACAACUGGAGGACUUUCAACGGAAUUAGAAAUAAAAAUUAAGUCCACAUUAGCAUGGGCUUAAUCUACAAAAACAUAGAAAAUCUAAACUUGAAGACCUGCUUGCCCAUCCCUCUUGUCUCCUUCUUCCUGACUUCCUAUUUGAUUCUCAUUCUCAAUCAUACAGUACUUCUUGAAGAAAUAACCCAAACACCUCAUCAGAAAAGGCACUGAAGCUAUAAACAAAAGAUAGCGAUAACGCACAGAUUUACGAGGAGUAACAGCAAAAACCGCAGAUGCAUAGGUUACCAUCAUUGAAGCUGUAGCAACCCAUAUUUCAACAUGGAAAGGGAACCUGUAAGUGAGAGAUGUAAUGACAAGUAUACAAG